GUGGGGGUUAGGGGGGCACCGAGCAUUGUACUUCCCUGCAGACCCCCAGGGGCUGGGGCUGCUGAGGGGCUGCUCAGCACCUGUCCCGACCCCUCUGCUGCCCUCCUGGCUGCUGAUGGCUCCUGCCAGAUGCCCUGUUGUAGCAGGAUGUUGUUGGGAGUAUGGCCACCACCACCACCUACCUCCCAUGUGGACCACUUGUGCCACCCAAGAGGGCCUCCCUCUCUCCCCAACCUCGGUUCAGUAAACCCAGGGACCCCAUGCGUACCUCCAGAAGUGCAGCUGUGUUCUCCAAGCCCAGUGACUGACAGCUCCCCCUAAUGCCAUGGCUGCCGUGAGGGAGGAGUAGCUCCCCCAAGUUUCCCCAAGGUGGGCCCUGCAGCCCCCGUUCAGCCUUGGCGUGUUGCCCUGGCUCCCCACAUCUACGGAUUUGGGGCCUUCUCUUCUUAUUGAUUUCCUGUCACUGCAAUAACAGAUUCCCACAGACUUAGUGGCUUAAAACAACACAAAUGUAUCAUCUCACAGUUCCAGAGGGUGGAAGUCCAAACCGGGUCUCCCUGAGCGAGGGUCAAGGUGUUGGCAGGACUGCUUCCUUCUGGGGCCUCGAGGGUGAAUCUGUGCUCUUGGCUUUUCAGGCUUCUAGAAACUGCUUCAUUCCUUGGCAGUGGCCCCUCCCUGGAUCUUCAAAACCAGCAAUGGCAGGUUGAGUCAUUCCCAUGUCACCUGAUGGUGACUCUUUCCUGCUUCCGUCUUCUACUCACGGGGACCCCUGUGAUGACUUUGGGAGCACCUGGAUGAUCCAGGAAACUCUCCCCAUCUGAGGGAAUGGUUGGCAACCGUAAUUCCAACUGCAACCUUCAUUGUCCUGUGUCAUAGCAUAUUCACAGGCUCUAGGGACUAGGUUGUGACAUCUUCAAGGGGCCAUUAUUCCACCUCCCACACCUUCCCAACCCUGGCUGUGCUGGCCCUGACUGAGAGGAGGGGGUUUCCACUUCCGUCACCUGGCAAGGGAACCUCCACAGCCCAAGAAUAUUAACAUUUAUCAGGUGCCGGGCAUGGGCCUCAUGUGUUUUAUGUAAUUCAAUCCUCCCAACAAAAGUAUGAGAAAGACCACACUCAGGCCAAGCACUGUGGUUCCCGCCUGAAAUCCCAGCGCUUUGGGAGGUGGAGGCAAGAGGAUUGCUUGAGCUCAGAAGUUCAAGACCACCCUGGGCAACACAAGCCAGCCCUGCAGCACAGCCUUCAACAUGAGCAACUCCUGCUCUCUGUAGCUCCAGCCCCAGCCUGGACCUAUCUUUCAGAGCCAUAAUGCUGAGACAGUCCCUGAGUCUUGGAUGAACACAGGACUCACAGUGUCUACACCGGACAGUUUCUGUUUGCACGACGUUGAGUAAACUUCACAUCCAUCGGGGAAGUUACCCUUUGGGAUUACUGAUGAAGGUGAGGAGAAGAUGCUGUUCUGAGAGCUGCUGAUAAUACGUGGAUCCAAACCCACAGGCUUGAGCUGCUUAAUUGAAAUUCACGUCAAAAUGAAAUUCUGGUUUAGCUCAACUUGACUACUAUGGAUGAUGAAAAUAAAUCCCUGGGUCACACAAGGAUAGUGAUUGAGUAGAGCUUGUUUGCUGGCACAGGAAUGACAUUUCAACUGGAAUUAAAUUGUCGUCAGUUAACAGAACUGAAUUUUCAGUCAUUCUUUGACUUGAAUUUUCUUUUUUCCCAAGAUAACAUGGACAGGACCCAG
rnacentral:lncRNA from 1 species